AUCUAUGUCUGCAUCAUGGAUCCACAUGGAGAAGAACUGAACAGAGGAAAAGAAACAUCUGACUGAGAGACUCGACAAAGAUGGAAAAAGAUCCAGGAAGAUUAGUGAGCAACUGAAAACCAGAGAAGCAGAGAGUCAGCAGGAAUCAGGAGGUCUAGAAGGAGUCAUAGUUCCACUAAUCAGGAGGUCUGGAAGGAGUCAUAGUUCCACUAAUCAGGAGGUCUAGAAGGAGUCAUAGUUCCACUAAUCAGGAGGUCUAGAAGGAGUCAUAGUUCCACUAAUCAGGAGGUCUAGAAGGAGUCAUAGUUCCACUAAUCAGGAGGUCUAGAAGGAGUCAUAGUUCCACUAAUCAGGAGGUCUGGAAGGAGUCAUAGUUCCACUAAUCAGGAGGUCUAGAAGGAGUCAUAGUUCCACUAAUCAGGAGGUCUAGAAGGAGUCAUAGUUCCACUAAUCAGGAGGUCUAGAAGGAGUCAUAGUUCCACUAU